rnacentral:rRNA from 1 species
UACGAAAGGGGCUAGCGUUGUUCGGAAUUACUGGGCGUAAAGCGCACGUAGGCGGCCUUGUAAGAUGGGGGUGAAAUCCCUGGGCUCAACCAAGGAACUGCCUUCAUGACUGCAAAGCUCGAGGAUGUGAGAGGUUGGCGGAAUUCCGAGUGUAGAGGUGAAAUUCGCAGAUAUUCGGAAGAACACCGGUGGCGAAGGCGGCCAACUGGCACAAUUCUGACGCAGAGGUGCGAAAGCGUGGGUAGCAAACAGG